rnacentral:lncRNA from 1 species
AUCUGCCUGGGGAAUGGCACACUGCACCGAGGUAAACGGAAGACAAGUCAACAGAGCAGAGUGGUGUCCAGAUACUAUGAAGAGAUUCACAAAACAACUGUUUCAUCCAAUCAUGGGGUUUGGACUUUCAUGACUCACUUUUCCCCAAAGAUGAACUGAUAAAUCUUGUCUAUUCUUCAUGGACGAGGAAACUGAGCUACAGUCAAGGUUAAGGGAUAUGCCCAAGGUCAUACAGCUACAAGUGGCAGCUCUUCAUGAGAUGGUGUUUGAUGAUCUCGAACAGCUGAACCCUUGGUUCCAGCCACCCUUCAACAAACACUCUCUACUCGGGGCUUCUUACGUCCUUGAAUCCAAAAUUUUCUGGUACAACACGAAUAUCAGAAGUAAUUUUCACCUACUGGAGUGUCUUUGUCUCACCUCUGGAAAGAACGAGCCCCAGGAAAUAAAGGAGGACGUACUUUUAGAAUCCAAGAGCUGAAAUAGACCUUGAUGAUCGCUCUGCUCAUCAGAGUUUCCUGAACUUCUAACCCUGGGGGCAAAGCAGAGUAGCUGAGCUGGCCUGAGGGUUCAAGUGCUUUGCCCGGAUUUCCUGCCUCAAGCAAGAAAAUGGCUUUCAAGUCUCAAAUUCUAGCUUAAAAAUUCAUGAAGCAUUUCGCAUUCUAAACCUAUAAUGUCUCUGUUAAUGAACUGCUUUUUCAAAAAAUAAAUCUUUAAAUAAGAUUAUC